UUGAAAAAUUCUGGGCACUCUGUCUCUCGUCUCUCUCUCUUCGUAGAAUCCAGGUCGGCCAGUUUUGGCUGCGAUCUUGGUGCUCUAGCCACGGCUAGACGCGUGACUGGUCAGAAAAUGAUCGGAGGAGGCCGGCGAACCAUGCUUGAGCCCAUCCCUGGCGAGCCCAACCUCCCUUCGCCGUUGCUAGUUCCAGGAACCUUCGAGGGUUUCGAGUUUUCCCACACCUUUUUCGGCGGUUCCGACGACCGUUGUCACCGAUCCAGAGGUAUUUCCUUUUGCCUUUGCAAUUGUUUCUGGUAAAACUAUGGACAAAUUGGAGGUGGUUUCUGCAAAGGAUAUCGGAUGUCUUGCUAGGCCUUUUUGGAUUUUUUUUGAAUUUUUUGUAUGAAAUGGUAUUAACAAUGUACUUUUAUGAUAUGGUAUUAACAAUGUACUUCAAGUUUACUGGGCUUAUUUUGGGUUUUUUUUUUGUUGAGUUUUUUUGUGUUGGGCUUAUUUUAAGUUUAUCGAUGGUAGUCAUGUGAUUUAUAGGAACUUCAACACUCAUUUUUUAUGUAGUAAAUGGAUUUUGGGUGUGUUUCUAAAGUGCA